UGGGGAAUCUUGCGCAAUGGGCGAAAGCCUGACGCAGCAACGCCGCGUGGGGGAUGAAGGCCUUCGGGUUGUAAACCCCUUUCAGUGGGGACGAAAUUGACGGUACCCACAGAAGAAGCCCCGGCUAACUACGUGCCAGCAGCCGCGGUAACACGUAGGGGGCAAGCGUUGUCCGGAUUUAUUGGGCGUAAAGAGCUCGUAGGCGGUUCGCUAAGUCGGGUGUGAAAACUCUGGGCUCAACUCAGAGACGCCACCCGAUACUGGCGUGACUCGAGUCCGGUAGGGGAGCAUGGAAUUCCUGGUGUAGCGGUGAAAUGCGCAGAUAUCAGGAGGAACACCAGUGGCGAAGGCGGUGCUCUGGGCCGGUACUGACGCUGAGGAGCGAAAGCGUGGGUAGCAAACA
rnacentral:rRNA from 1 species